GCGAACGCUGGCGGCAUGCCUAACACAUGCAAGUCGCACGGGGGGGCUUCGGCCUCCCAGUGGCGGACGGGUGAGGAACGCGUAGGGACCUGUCGAGGGGUGGGGGAUAACCGCGGGAAACUGCGGCUAAUACCGCAUGACGCCGCGGCGUGACAGCCGGGGCCAAAGGCGAAAGCCGCCCGCCGAGGGGCCUGCGUCCGAUUAGCUGGUUGGCGGGGUAGCGGCCCACCAAGGCGUCGAUCGGUAGCUGGUCUGAGAGGGUGAUCAGCCACACCGGGACUGAGACACGGCCCGGACUCCUACGGGAAGCAGCAGUGGGGAAUAUUGGACAAUGGGCGCAAGCCUGAUCCAGCAAUGCCGCGUGGGUGAAGAAGGUCUUCGGAUUGUAAAGCCCUUUCGGCGGGGACGAUGGUGACGGUACCCGCAGAAGAAGCCCCGGCUAACUUCGUG
rnacentral:rRNA from 1 species